rnacentral:rRNA from 1 species
GGUCAGAACGAACGCUGGCGGCGCGUUUAAGCAUGCAAGUCGAGCGGCAAGGGCCUUCGGGCCCCUAGAGCGGCGGACGGGUGAGUAACACGUGGACAAUCUGCCCCCCGGCCCGGGAUAGCCCAGGGAAACCUGGAUUAAUACCGGAUGAGACGGGACCCGCGAUGGCGGGAUCCGGGAAAGGCGCUGCGGCGCCGCCGGGGGAUGAGUCUGCGUCCCAUUAGCUAGACGGCGGGGUAACGGCCCACCGUGGCGACGAUGGGUAGCCGGCCUGAGAGGGUGGACGGCCACAUUGGAACUGAGACACGGUCCAGACUCCUACGGGAGGCAGCAGCUAAGAAUCUUCCGCAAUGGGCGAAAGCCUGACGGAGCCGACGCCGCGUGAACGAAGAAGGCCGUGAGGUUGUAAAGUUCUUUUCGGGAGGGGGAACAACCGUGGCAGGGAAUGGCCGCGGGAUGACGUGAAUCCCGGAAUAAGCCCCGGCUAACUACGUGCCAGCCGCCGC